rnacentral:rRNA from 1 species
UACGUAGGGGGCAAGCGUUGUUCGGAAUUACUGGGCGUAAAGGGCGCGUAGGCGGCACAGCAAGUCGGGAGUGAAAGCCCGGGGCUCAACCCUGAGCUUGCGGUCGAUACGGGCAUGACUGGAGUUCGGCAGGGGAGACUGGAAUUCCUGGUGUAGCGGUGAAAUGCGCAGAUAUCAGGAGGAACACCGGUGGCGAAGGUGGUUCUCUGGGCAUUACCUGACGCUGAGGAGCGAAAGUGUGGGGAGCGAACAGG